ACGCUCGACACCUACGGGAGGCAGCAGUGAGGAAUAUUGGUCAAUGGACGCAAGUCUGAACCAGCCAUGCCGCGUGCAGGAUGACGGCUCUAUGAGUUGUAAACUGCUUUUGUAUGAGGGUAAACGCAGAUACGUGUAUCUGUCUGAAAGUAUCGUACGAAUAAGGAUCGGCUAACUCCGUGCCGGCAGCCGCGGUAAUCUGAGCGGCUGGCAAGGC
rnacentral:rRNA from 1 species